UUCUCAAACUUUGAAUAUGUAAGUAGUCCUUGGUGCUUGAUUGAACGUGGACAUUUGAACGAAGAGCUUUCAGUGGUCCAUUUUUGGUAAGCAGAACUGGCGAUGCGGGAUGAACCGAACGUAGAGUUAAGGUGCCGGAAUACACGCUCAUCAGACACCACCAAAGAUGUUAGUUCAUCUGGACAGCC